rnacentral:tRNA from 1 species
GGCCGGAUGGCGGAGUGGCGACGCAGCGGAGUGCAUAUCCGCGCACCCUGGUUCGAAUCCAGGUCCGGCCUCCA